rnacentral:lncRNA from 1 species
CAGCACUCAACGAUAGGCCUGUAGAGAUAUCAAACUCACAGAUGUCUUUAUAUAGGACAAAGCCAUCCAUUUUGUGCACCAAGAACCCCACCUGAGCCCAGAUUUGUUGAGAACAAUGCCACUCAAAGCAGUCAUCAAACCUCAUUCAUGCCGUCAGGCAUGAAAACCAGGUGCUGAAAAAUAGCACCAGGUGUGGUGCUGUGACUAAUUGGCCUGAACAGUCAGUGUAUGCCUGAGCUGGGUAAGUUCCUAUGUUUUAGUGGCUCUUGUUUUCUUGAUGUUGAUGCCUCUCCCUUCAGUGUGAAUCCAUCAUAAUCAAACAGUACAGGUUUGAUGACAAGAACUAUCAGUUGUAAAGCAGAGGGAGAACUGAGAUUUUCUUCUCUUCAUGCGCUGGUGCAGGAACUGGUUGGUGCUGGUUCCAAUUUUUGCAACCCUUGCAUUUCUGUUCAGAAAUGUCCUAUUUGGAAUAAUUUGUCUCAGCAUCAGGGCCAAUCUGCCGUUUGGUUUUGACUUGACAGGAUGGUAAGAAAUAAGGUCUUGCCCCUUCUGUCAUUUCUACAUAAAUAUAAAGAGAAGGCAUGAGCACCUCCUUUUUUAUUCUUUUUAUUUUAUUUUAUUUUAUUUUAUUUUAUUUUAUUUUAUUUUAUUUUUAUUUUUUUUCUGGGUGCUGCUGGUGGUAAAUAUGUGGAAAUUUGGUGUUCUGAAGAUGUAAGCCUUUUUGUUCUAAGAAUAUUUAAAAAUUGAAUAUUUUAUUUUCUUCUUUGUGUUGUCAUUUUGGUAUGAUUUCUGGCAGCUGAAGCAACCAUAUUUCUUCAUAGUUUGGACUGUCAAUGCUUGUUUUUUGAUUGAUUGUAAAAACUGUG